GUUUUAGAAUCUCUGGAUGGGUGUGGGAAGAGGCACGUCAGUGGCGGCAGGAGGCCCACAGUUCUGUGCCUGGAAAGUGGAGAACUGGAAGAGAAGAUGAGAAACAUUCCCCUCAAGGCAAAAAUGCCCCCAAGAUGUAUUCUGGAGAAUUCAGCCCAGUCAGAGUGUAUGUACCUUUUUCCCUCUCAGACUUGAAACAAAUUAAAAUAGACCUAGGUACAUUCUCAGAUAACCCUGAUGACUAUAUUGAUGUUUUACAAGAAUUAGGACAAUCCUUUGAUCUGACAUGGAGAGAUGCAAUGUUACUGCUAAAUCAGACACUAACCCCAAAUGAGAGAAGUGCCACCAUAACUGCAGCCCGAGAGCUUGGCGAUCUCUGGUAUCUCAGUCAGGUCAAUGAUAGGAUGACAACAGAGGAAAGAGAACGAUUCCCUACAGGCCAGCAGGCAGUUCCCAGUGCAGACCCUCAUUGAGACACAGAAUCAGAACAUGGAGAUUGGUGCUGCAGACAUUUACUAACUUGCGUGCUGGAAGGACUAAGGAAAACCAGGAAGAAGCCUGUGAAUUUUUCAAUGAUGUCCACUGUAACACAGGGAAAGGAAGAAAAUCCUACUGCCUUUCUGGAGAGACUAAGGGAGGCACUGAGGAAGCAUACCUCCCUGUCACCUGACUCUAUUGAAGGCCAACUAAUCUUAAAGGUUAAGUUUAUCACUCGGUCAGCUGCAGACAUUAGAAAACAAACUUCAAAAGUCCACCUUAGGCCUGGAGCAAAACUUGAGACACCCUAUUGAACUUGGCAACCUUGGUUUUUUAUAAUAGAGAUCAGGAGGAGCAGUCGGAAUGGGACAAACGAGAUUAAAAAAAAAAAAAAGGCCACCGUUUUAGUCAUGGCCCUCAGGCAAGCGGACUUUGGAGGCUCUGGGAAAGGGAAAGGCUGGGCAAAUCGAAUGCCUAAUAGGGCUUUCUUCCGGUGCGGUCUACAAGGACACGUUAAAAAAGAUUGUCCCAGUAGAAAUAAGCCGCCCCCUCAUCCAUGCCCCUUAUGUCAAGGGAAUCACUGGAAGGCCCACUGCCCCAGGGGACGAAGGUCCUCUGAGUCAGAAGCCAUUCACCAGAUGAUCCAGCAGCAGGACUGAGGGUACCGGGGCAAGCACCAGCCCAUGCCAUUACCCUCACAGAGCCCCGGGUAUGCUUGACCAUUGAGGGCCAGGAGGUUAACUGUUUCCUGGACACUUGUGCGGCCUUCUGUCUUACUCUCCUGUCCUGGACAACUGUCCUCCAGAUCUGUCGCUAUCCGAGGGGUCCUAGGACAGGCAGUCACUUGAUACUUCUCCCAGCCACUAAGUUGUGACUGGGGAACUUUACGCUUUUCACAUGCCUUUCUAAUUAUGCCCGAAAGCCCCACUCCUUUGUUAGGGAGAGACAUCCUAGCAAAAGCAGGGGCCAUUAUACACUAGAAUUAGAAGGAAAAAGGGUAAAUAUAUAUACAGACUCUAAGCAUGCUUACCUAGUCCUCCAUGCCCACGCAGCAAUAUGGGGAGAAAGGGAAUUCCUAACUUCCGAGGGAACACCUAUCAAACAUCAGGAAGCCAUUAGGCCCCCCAAAUUCUCUUCACCUCUGAAUCUACAUCCUCCGACCCCUGCCUAAAGAUAAUUUUAUGGGGAAGAGGAUUUGCUUGUGUCUCCCCAGGUGACAAUCAGGUGUCUAUGUGGGUGCCCACCAACCAUCUGAAGAUCUGUCACGAGCCACGGCAUCUAGUGGACCCACCUGCAGAGUACAGUGCGAAUUGAAGGUUUGAAAAGCCUCGAUUUGCUUUCUCUGUGCCUUCUGUUAAUCAGAAAAGGCCUGUUUCUCACUAUCAGUGGCCCGGCUACAGCCACAAAAGUUUUUGCUUCUGUUUCAGUAGAUUUACUAACGUGGGGGUGAGGGUAGGCUUGUGUUUUUGCAGGAGAUGAAUGAACCGUGUGGAUGCCCUCAAGAUGUGCACGACCAUGGAAUGGGAGACUGGAGGGACCCAUGGAUCCCAGCCUUGGACCAGGUUCCCCCAGUAUGAGCCAUGAACCAGUUGAAUCUGAAUGCGAAGAAGGAAUGAGGACUGACCGGAGUCACGAUGCCUAACGGACCAAUGCUUUCUGACUCAGCUCCUCUCUACCCUGAAUAUGAGAGACCCUAAUAGUUAGACAGGAAUAUCGUCACCCCUAUUCAGCAUGAAGAAGUUACAGAAGAUGGACCUUCAUCCUUCUGCAACCCCUAGGAUUAAGGGUCCUCUUGUAGAAGGGAAAGGGGAGAUAUGUUGGAAGCAUUCAAACCAGAGUGACUCCAGUUUGAAUAAGGGCUAAGAAAAGAGAAGCUGGGUCACCUACCGGCAAUUAAGGGCUGCACAGCCUGCAAUCGCCUAGCUAAUGAUAGCUAGUAAUAAUGAUAGUAAUAAUGAUACCUUCUCUUUUAUAAAAAAGAGGGGGCAUGUUGGGAAAAAAGCUGAGUGUUGGGGGGGAAACCGAGGCAGGGCUUGCAUAAUGUCCUCUGGAAUGUGUCUAGACUUGCUGGCUCCUUGCUUCUAGCCUUCCUAGGCUCCUAGGUCCCUAUUCCCAGUAUCUCAAGUAGCAGAACAUGUUCCAUGUAAAUGCUAAACCAUCACAGCUGUAGAUCAUGUGCCUGCCCUUUUGACCUCCACGUUAUCACCACCUGUUUCUUUGUUGGAUUACCAAUAAAUACUGUGGGCUCCCAGAGCUCGGGGACUUCGCAGCCUCCACGAUGGCCCCCUGGUGUCCCACCUUUCUCUCUCAAA